rnacentral:misc_RNA from 1 species
GAUGAAGAGCGUAGCGAAAUGCGAUAAGUAGUGUGAAUUGCAGAAUUCAGUGAAUCAUCGAAUCUUUGAACGCACAUUGCGCCCUUUGGUAUUCCAAAGGGCAUGCCUGUUCGAGCGUCAUUUGUACCCUCAAGCUUUGCUUGGUGUUGGGCGUCUUGUCUCUAGCUUUGCUGGAGACUCGCCUUAAAGUAAUUGGCAGCCGGCCUACUGGUUUCGGAGCGCAGCACAAGUCGCACUCUCUAUCAGCAAAGGUCUAGCAUCCAUUAAGCCUUUUUUUCAACUUUUGACCUCGGAUCAGGUAGGGAUACCCGCUGAACUUAAGCAUAUCAAUAAGCGGAGGA